ensembl:antisense
GUCUCUCCGCUAAUAGGAUGCUCUGUGGAGGAGCCCUUGGGAGGGUCUCACUGUGCAGCCCUGGCUGACCUGGAAAUUGCUGUGUAGUCUAGACGGGGCUUGGACUCACAGAGAUCCACCUGCCUCAGAUAGGCUCCAUUGCUCUCCGUCUUUUCCAUCCUACGGUAGGAGUGUGCUUUGAGGAGUGACAUCACAGGCUCUGGCUGACUCGCACUGUAAGGUAAGGUCUAUACCACAGGGAUAAUGAAGGUAGAAGCAGUGCGAACUGGGAGCUGAGGUAUUCAAGGGCUGAGCCCUGGCUCGCCCACCCUGCAGGCCUCUCUACUAGGCAGAGAGCUAUGCUGCUGUCUUGUUUAAGCAGUAUAACUGGGAGACUCCACUUUCCUCGGUUAAACCCACUCCUUGCUGGUGAACACUCAUUCCUUUACAUCACAUGACUCUUCACUGGCCUUCGCCAGUGAGUCUUAGGUCAUUUCCUCUUAACUGUCCGAGUCCAAGUUCUUGUUCCUCAGAUCACAAGCAGAGCUUGUUGAGAAGCUAUCUUCAUGCCUGCAGCAACGGAUGAAGAAUGUCCCAGCUACAGCUACUUCAACCAGUUCCCAAAAUAGUUGCCUGAAGCCCAGUAGGGACAGUAUGACUCAGUUCCACUCCGCAGGACAGUGCUCAUGCCAAACCUGCCUGUUUCUGUAGAGGCAACUUCGUUGCUGGGAGAAGGGCAUCAGGGACGCAUGUGCAGAACCCAUGGAAGUUUUCAGAAGACACAGCUAGUCUGUGUGUCUAUCAAUCCGGCUUGGCAAUAUGUUCCAGACUCAUUCCUCUGUGACAAGCAACCCCAUUUGUUCCUUAGGACAGCCUCCUUCUAGACUAUGGUGUGCCCCAAAAUCAGCUCAUAAAUAUAUCUUUGUCUGGAAUAAAAAGUCGAACUGUU